AGUUCGAAUCCAGGGCGUGCUGAGUGACUCCAGCCAGGUCUCCUAAGCAACCAAAUUGGCCCGGUUGCUAGGGAGGGUAGAGUCACAUGGGGUAACCUCCUCGUGGUCGCUAUAAUGUGGAUCUCGCUCUCGGUGUGGCGCGUGGCGAGUUGAGCGUGGAUCACGGAGAAUAGCGUGAAGCCUCCACACGCACUACGUCUCCGUGGUAACGCACUCAACAAGUCACGUGAUAAGAUGUGCGGAUUGACGGUCUCAGACACGGAGGCGACUGAGAUUCGUCCUCCGCCACCCGGAUUGAGGCGAUUCACUACACCACCACGAGGACUUAGAACAAAUUGGGAAUUUUCCGUUCCAAAUUGGGGAGAAAAAAUGACUUCAGAAUACUUGGAAUAUAGCGCUUGGACUAUUUUAAAGAUACUUCUGUGGUGUUUUUAUAGUUAGUUUUGGAGCUUAACAGCCACGAUGACUGUCGUUGAAUGGAAAAGAGCAGCGUUAACAUUUUUCUAAUCAGAAGAAAGUGAGUCAAACAGGUUUGGAACAACAUGAGGGUGAGUAAAUGAUGAUAGAAAUUUUCGUUUUUGUUGUUCCUGUACGCCGCUGUCUGCUUUCAUGUUAGCUGGUAGUUUAUAGCUGGUUUGAAUCUUGAUUGUAGAGCUCAAAUCCUAGAUGGAGGAUUGUUGUGUUUAUGAGGUUUGAAAAGGGAAGAAUUGAGAGUCUCAAGUUGUGUCGUUUUCAUGAAGUAUUGCAACAGAUUUCAGUUUGGUUUCACUUCAUCUUUACAUUAAAACAGCUGCUGUGAAGAACCUUCCUUCAUUUCAUGUGAGCUUGUGUGGAAAUAUGUAUUAAACCAAUGAUUGUGAAAAAUAACGGAUGUAUGAGGAAAGACCCAGUUUUGAUGUUCACUGUAAACAAUUUACAAUGUUUGUUAAUGAUUGAUUCAUAUUUUUCUUUUCCAUUUAUUUCAUCAUAUGAGCAACUGACUUUCUCUUUCCUUAAAAAAAUAUUGCACUAUCAAUGUAACAAAAUAAUGUGAAAAACAAUAAAAGAAUUUGAACAAGAA